CCUACGGGAGGCAGCAGUGGGGAAUAUUGCACAAUGGGGGAGACCCUGAUGCAGCGACGCCGCGUGAGUGAAGAAGUAUUUCGGUAUGUAAAGCUCUAUCAGCAGGGAAGAAAAAAGACGGUACCUGACUAAGCAGCCCCGGCUAAAUACGUGCCAGCAGCCGCGGUAAUACGUAGGGGGCAAGCGUUAUCCGGAUUUACUGGGUUUAAAGGGAGGGUAGACGGCGCGGCAAGUCUGAAGUGAAAGGCAGGGGCUUAAACACUUAACUGCUUUGGAAACUGCCAUGCUAGAGUGCUGGAGAGGUAAGUGGAAUUCCUGGUGUAGCGGUGAAAUGCGUAGAUAGUAGGAGGAACACCAGUUGCGAAGGCAGCUUACUGGACAGUAACUGACGUUGAUGCUCGAAAGCGUGGGUAGCAAACAGGAUUAGAUACCCGUGUAGUC
rnacentral:rRNA from 1 species